rnacentral:rRNA from 1 species
AAAAUUAGAGUGUUCAAAGCAGGCAGAUCCAAUUUUCUGCCACCGAAUACAUUAGCAUGGGAUAAUGGAAUAGGACCCUGUCCUCCUAUUUUCAGUUGGUUUUGGCAGCGCGAGGACUAGGGUAAUGAUUAAUAGGGAUAGUUGGGGGCAUUAAUAUUUAAUUGUCAGAGGUGAAAUUCUUGGAUUUAUGAAAGAUUAACUUCUGCGAAAGCAUCUGCCAAGGAUGUUUUCAUUAAUCAAGAACGAAAGUUAGGGGAUCGAAGACGAUCAGAUACCGUCGUAGUCUUAACCAUAAACGAUGCCGACCAGCGAUUAGGAGACGUUGAAUACAAAACACCACCAUCGGUGCGGUCGUCCUUGGCGGUUGGUCUUCAAAAGCCAGCGGCGGGGGCGGCUUAGCCCGGUGGCACCGGUGAA